rnacentral:rRNA from 1 species
GAUGAACGCUGGCGGCGUGCCUAAUACAUGCAAGUCGAGCGAACAGACGAGGAGCUUGCUCCUCUGACGUUAGCGGCGGACGGGUGAGUAACACGUGGAUAACCUACCUAUAAGACUGGGAUAACUUCGGGAAACCGGAGCUAAUACCGGAUAAUAUAUUGAACCGCAUGGUUCAAUAGUGAAAGACGGUUUUGCUGUCACUUAUAGAUGGAUCCGCGCCGCAUUAGCUAGUUGGUAAGGUAACGGCUUACCAAGGCAACGAUGCGUAGCCGACCUGAGAGGGUGAUCGGCCACACUGGAACUGAGACACGGUCCAGACUCCUACGGGAGGCAGCAGUAGGGAAUCUUCCGCAAUGGGCGAAAGCCUGACGGAGCAACGCCGCGUGAGUGAUGAGGUCUUCGGAUCGUAAAACUCUGUUAUUAGGGAAGAACAAAUGUGUAAGUAACUAUGCACGUCUUGACGGUACCUAAUCAGAAAGCCACGGCUAACUACGUG